rnacentral:rRNA from 1 species
GCGGAUGAGUAAGCGUUUUGUGAAAUCCCUCGGCUUAACCGGGGAAUUGCUUGGCGAACUGCUCAUCUUGAGGCAAAUAGGGGUGCAUGGAACUCUUGGUGGAGCGGUGGAAUGCGUAGAUAUCAAGAGGAACGCCAGCGGCGAAAGCGGUGCACUGGAUUUGUCCUGACGCUGAGAUACGAAAGCGUGGGGAGCAAACGGGAUUAGAUACCCCGGUAGUCCACGCCCUAAACGAUGCCUACUAGGUUGUAGAAGCUCUGACGCUUUUACGGCCGAAGCAAAAGUGUUAAGUAGGCCGCCUGGGAAGUACGGUCGCAAGGCUAAAACUCAAAGGAAUUGACGGGGGCUCACACAAGCGGUGGAGUAUGUGGAUUAAUUCGAAGCAACGCGCAGAACCUUACCUGGGUUUGACAUGGUUGGAUGGCUUACUGGAAACAGUGUAGUCUGCCCGCAAGGGUGAAACUUCCACAGGUGCUGCAUGGCUGUCGUCAGCUCGUGUCGUGAGAUGUCGGGUUAAGUCCCUUAACGAGCGAAACCCUUGUCAUUAGUUACCAUCAGUUCAGCUGGGGACUCUAAUGAGACUGCCGGUGUUAAACCGGAGGAAGGUGGGGAUGACGUCAAGUCCUCAUGGCCUUUAUGCCCAGGGCCUCACACGUACUACAAUGGCGGCCACAAAGCGAUGCAAGACCGUAAGGUGGAGCAAAUCGCAGAAAGGUCGCCUCAGUUCAGAUUGCAGGCUGCAAUUCGCCUGCAUGAAGUUGGAAUCGCUAGUAAUCGCGGAUCAGCUACGCCGCGGUGAAUGUGUUCCUGAGCCUUGUA